UACAGAGGUCCCAAGCGUUGCUCGGAAUGACUGGGCGUAAAGGGCGCGUAGGCGGAUGGCACAGUCAGAUGUGAAAUUCCCGGGCUUAACCUGGGGGCUGCAUUUGAUACGUGUGAUCUAGAGUGAGGAAGAGGGUCGUGGAAUUCCCAGUGUAGAGGUGAAAUUCGUAGAUAUUGGGAAGAACACCGGUGGCGAAGGCGGCGACCUGGUCCUUGACUGACGCUGAGGCGCGAAAGCGUGGGGAGCAAACAGG
rnacentral:rRNA from 1 species